GACGAACGCUGGCGGCGUGCUUAACACAUGCAAGUCGAACGGAAAGGCCCUGCUUGCCGGGUACUCGAGUGGCGAACGGGUGAGUAACACGUGGGUGAUCUGCCCUGCACUUCGGGAUAAGCCUGGGAAACUGGGUCUAAUACCGGAUAGGAGCCAUUUUUAGUGUGAUGGUUGGAAAGUUUUUUCGGUGUAGGAUGAGCUCGCGGCCUAUCAGCUUGUUGGUGGGGUAAUGGCCUACCAAGGCGGCGACGGGUAGCCGGCCUGAGAGGGUGGACGGCCACAUUGGGACUGAGAUACGGCCCAGACGCCUACGGGAGGCAGCAGUGGGGAAUAUUGCACAAUGGGCGCAAGCCUGAUGCAGCGACGCCGCGUGGGGGAUGACGGCCUUCGGGUUGUAAACGCCUUUCGCUAGGGACGAAGCUUUUUGUGACGGUACCUAGAUAAGAAGCACCGGCUAACUACGUG
rnacentral:rRNA from 1 species